rnacentral:lncRNA from 1 species
UUAAACCAGAUGCUCCGCAGGGCGUAGCUUUAUACGACCGCAGAGGUUGAACCCUGAACGGUUGGGGCAAGUAUGGACACAACAUUCAAGCUGGAUUCAGCUCUAAAUUUGGAUUGUAUUUAAAUAGUUGACACAGCAUAGGUUUCUGACACAGAAUGAAUGUGUUCUAAUGAACUUAAAAUUUGUGUUUUCUCUUAGAGCAAUUCACUAUGCUGUUGAAUAUUAAUCCUCUCAAAACAAGAAUGUGUCCUCAGUACACG